rnacentral:rRNA from 1 species
AUGUCCAGCAUCCACCUCCGCCACUGCUCCACUAUGCCCAUGCCCCGCGUCUGCCUCCGCCGCCGCCUCUCCUCCUCCUUCUCCUCCUCCUUCUCCAACUGCACCUCGCCGCCCUCACCACCCUGGUCUCCCCACGCAGCCUUUGCCGCGGCCACAGAGCGCGUACGAGCCGGGACGCUCAGCCCGCAAGACGCACACCACCUGUUCGACGUAUUGUUUCAGCAGGCCACUCGGGUCCCCGAGCGCUCCCUUGAUGGAUUCCUUGCCGCCCUCGGCGGUGCUGCGUCCUCUGAAGCCUGCAGAGACGGCCCCGCCCUCGCCCUCGCCCUUUUCAACCGUAUCUUCCGAGAAGAAGCCGGCAUGCGGGUGGCGCCGCCCACCAUCUUCACUUAUGGCAUCCUCAUGAACUGCUGCUGCCGCGUACGUCGUCCGGACCUAGGGCUUGCCUUCUUUGGGCGCAUCCUUAGGGCGGGCCUGAAGACAAACCAGAUCGCGGCCAACACGGUCAUCAAGUGCCUCUGCUGCGCAAAACAUACUGACGAGGCUGUCAAUAUGCUGCUUCAUAGGAUGUCCGACCUAGGCUGUGUGCCUGAUGACUUCUCAUACAACACAGUUCUGAAGAGCUUGUGUGAAGACGGCAGGAGCUUGCAGGCGCUUGACCUACUGCUCCAGAUGGUGUCCAAGGAAGGAGGUGCCUGCUCCCCUGACACGGUGGCAUAUAGCACGGUCAUCCACGGCUUCUUGAAGGAAGGCAAAGUAGACAAGGCAUGCAAUCUAUUCAAUGAAAUGAUGCGGCAAGGGGUUGUGCCUGAUGUGGUCAAUGGUGGCUCGAUUAUCGAUGCAUUGUGCAAAGCCGGAGCAAUGCACAAGGCAGAGUUGUUCCUUCGGCAGAUGGUUCAUAACGGUGUUCGACCGGAUGAGGUGACAUAUACUAGCAUGAUCCAUGGAUAUUCCACUUUGGGCCGGCUGAAAGAGGUGCGUAAAAUUUUCAGAGAAAUGACAAGCCGUGGUCUUAUACCAGAUAUUGUCACUUGGAACUCGUUCAUGGACUCCCUUUGCAAGCAUGGAAGAACCAAAGAAGCUGCAAAGGUUUUCUUUUCCAUGGCUGCAAAGGGCAACAAGCCUAAUAUUGUCUCCUACACUAUUCUUCUUCAUGGGUAUGCCAAUGAAGGAAGCUUUGCUGAUAUGAUGAGUCUCUUCAAUUCAAUGAAAGGCGGUGGCAUUGUAGCCAACUGCAAAGUUUUCAACAUAUUAAUUGGUGCAUAUGCUAAACGAGGGCUGAUAGAUGAAGCUAUGCUCAUACUUACUGAAAUGCGGGGACAAGGACUGAGUCCGGAUGUAGUCACCUAUUCAACUCUAAUAUCUGCACUUUGGAGAAUGGGUAAGCUGACUGAUGCUAUGGAUAGGUUCAGUCAGAUGGUUGUUGGUACGGGAGUACAGCCGGACACAGUUGUUUAUCACUCCCUAGUUCAGUUCUUAUGUACACAUGGUGAUUUGGUGAAAGCGAAGGAGUUGAUUUCUGAAAUGAUGAAUAAAGGUAUUGCUCGUCCAAACACUGCACUCUUCAGUUCAAUAAUGGACAGUCUACGCAAUGAAGGAAGGGUUAUAGAUGCACACCAUAUCUUUGACUUGGUUAUAGACAUAGGUGAGAAACCUGAUAGCAGUAUGUUUAGUACGCUGAUUGACGGAUAUUGCUUAGUCGGUGAGAUGGACAAAGCAUGUGGAGUACUUGAUGCCAUGGUAUCAGCUGGCAUUGAGCCUAAUGUCAUUACGUAUAGCACACUUGUCAGUAGAUAUUGUAAACGUGGAAGGAUCGCUAAUGGGUUGAUUCUGUUCAGACAAAUGUUGCAUAAGAAAGUUAAACCUACAACUGUUACAUAUGAAACCAUACUGAAUGGAUUAUUUCGUGCUGGGAGAACUGCUGAUGCGAAGAAAAUCUUCGAUGAGAUGAUCGAAAGUGGAAUAAUGGUGAGCAUUUCUACAUAUAAUAUAAUUCUUGGAGGACUUUGUAGAAAUAAUUGCGCAGAUGAAGCGAUUGUCCUAUUCCAGAACGUGCAAUGA